UGCCAUUGAUCACUAACCUAACGGCACUAAAUAAGGAAAAUAAAAAAGCAAAGGACAAAAAAAUGUGCCAGCGUUUAAUGAAGCAUGGAAAUAAAAAGAAAAUUUUACUUUCAAUAUCGAUGACCCUUUCCCUCCCAAUAAAUCCAUCAAUAUCUCACACUUAAAUCUCUCCUCUCCCACCCAUCUUUAACCAAUAUCCCCCUCCCUCUCUCUUUCUCUCACACAUCUAACCACA
rnacentral:lncRNA from 1 species